CUCCUCCAGGACAUCGCCCUUCUUCCGAUGAACGUCACCGACACACCGGACGCCAUCUCUUGGCGUUUGGAAUCAUCCGGCUGCUUCUCCACCAAAUCCCUAUACGCAUCCAUCGCCCCCUCGCCGGCACCCGAGCCCUUCAGUCUGAUUUGGAACAUCCGCUUGCCCCUGAAAAUCAGGAUCUUCCUGUGGCAAUGGAUCCGCGGCCGCCUCCCAUCCGGCGUGGAGGUCCUCAAGCUUAAUGGACCCGGAGAUGGGCUUUGCCCCCUGUGCGGCACGGUGGAGGACGCUAAUCACAUCUUCUUCUCGUGCUCCACGACCCAGUUUCUCUGGUCCAGUUUCCACGAGACUGUUGGGGGCCAGUGGUGCAACUCCAACUUUCCUGACCUUCUUGCGGAGAUCCAUGCCUCCCCCCUCGCUACCGCCAUAUUAGAUGGCUCUGCGUUGGGGUCCUUGCCUGGACGCUUUGGACCGUAUGCAAUAAGCUUGUCAUUCAAAAGGUGCCUCUUCGACGCGCUACUGACGCUAUUUUUAAAAUGUGUGGGUACUUGCAGCUUUGGCGGCCGCUUAGUCGCCCUCAGGAUCGGGACGUCAUCAACACCCUCCUCGCCGACCUUCGAUCGCUGGCCUUCCGCUUGGCGCCCCCGCUCCCACCGCCACCCCCGGAGCCCGACUAGAUGCUCCAUUGCACCCCGUGUGUGCGUGCUUUUUCUGUUUUCAGGGCUUGUUGAGUUGUGCCCUCAGCAUUAA
rnacentral:rRNA from 1 species